rnacentral:tRNA from 1 species
AGGAAGUCCCGGAAAAUCCCAGUUUGAGGGCCUCAUAAUCCUUUGGUCGUUGGUUCGAUCCCAACACGGCCUACCA